AACGAACGCUGGCGGCAGGCUUAACACAUGCAAGUCGAGCGCGGUCUUUCGGGACUGAGCGGCGGACGGGUGAGUAACGCGUGGGAACGUGCCCUUUGGUUCGGAAUAGCCCUGGGAAACUGGGAGUAAUGCCGAAUAAGCUCUACGGAGGAAAGAUUUAUUGCCAAAAGGAUUGGCCCGCGUCCGAUUAGCUAGUUGGUGAGGUAAUGGCUCACCAAGGCGACGAUCGGUAGCUGGUCUGAGAGGAUGAUCAGCCACACUGGGACUGAGACACGGCCCAGACUCCUACGGGAGCUG
rnacentral:rRNA from 1 species